CUCGGAUUCAUUUAUGAAUUUUGUCCCUUUUGCAGGUGCACACUAGAGCAAGCAUUUGGGGCUGAUUUCCGGACUAUAGUAGGUCCGGGUGGGGAAGGUAAGGGCUGUUAUCUGCAGCUUUGCAGAGUCUUAGCUGGAGAGGAGCCUGCUGGCUGGAGUUGCCUCUUUCGGUCAAACUCUCACCCCCAUCUCUGAAAGGAGCUGCGGCUGGCCAACGAGGCUGUCUUCCCUCGUGGUCUCGCCCUCCCAGCUCGUUUAAAAUCUGGGGCCAAGACUUGCCCGGUGACGAAGACCAAUGAAGUCGUUAGGGACUUCUAAAUGUAAUAGUGUAGUAGCUCGACUUUUAAUUCUGUCGUCAAAGAUUGUAACUUUAGUUUGAGAUUCUGAAAACUGUAAUUUGUACCUUUUCUCAAGAAAUAAAAAUACUCUUUCAUUCGUUAAA